rnacentral:lncRNA from 1 species
GGCUCCUCAUAUUUUCUUUUGUUUAAAGUGCUGCUAUGUUUUAGCAAAAAAAUUAUCAUUAUUAUUUUAUGCAUAUUUCUAAAAGAUUGCAACAUAUGUGGUAGGAUAGGCCCUUUAAUGGCCACGAUCUUGAUAUAUUUGUAAGCCCAUAUAUCAGCACAUAUAUAUGGAUAGGGGUGUACAUGAUGUGGUUCGAACCGAUUUGGAAUCAACCUUUAAAUCAAACAAAUUUUAUUCAAACCACCGUCGUGAUGAACAACGAGUAAGACAAAUAAAAAGCUUUUUGCUAUUUUAAAUAGAAAAAAUAAUUAGACAUCAAAUUUUAUUUUCGAUGGACAACUCCACCUUUUAUGUCAUGAUCCGAACUAGAGAUGAUAAUUUUAAUCUGAUUCAUCGGAUAUUCGAUUUGAUUUGAUUCAAAUGGUGUG